GACGAACGCUGGCGGCGUGCUUAACACAUGCAAGUCGAGCGGUAAGGCCCUUUCGGGGGUACACGAGCGGCGAACGGGUGAGUAACACGUGGGUGACCUGCCCUCAGCUCUGGGAUAAGCCUGGGAAACUGGGUCUAAUACUGGAUAUGACUCCACGGUGCAUGUCGUGGGGUGGAAAGCCUUGUGCGGCUGAGGAUGGGCCCGCGGCCUAUCAGCUUGUUGGUGGGGUGANGGCCUACCAAGGCGACGACGGGUAGCCGGCCUGAGAGGGCGACCGGCCACACUGGGACUGAGACACGGCCCAGACUCCUACGGGAGGCAGCAGUGGGGAAUAUUGCGCAAUGGGCGGAAGCCUGAC
rnacentral:rRNA from 1 species